CCUACGGGAGGCAGCAGUAGGGAAUAUUGCUCAAUGGGGGAAACCCUGAAGCAGCAACGCCGCGUGGAGGAAGAAGGUUUUAGGAUUGUAAACCCCUUUUGUAAGAGAAGAUAAUGACGGUAUCUCACGAAUAAGCACCGGCUAACUCCGUGCCAGCAGCCGCGGUAAUACGGAGGGUGCAAGCGUUACUCGGAAUCACUGGGCGUAAAGAGUGUGCAGGCGGGCUUGUAAGUCAGAGGUGAAAUGCUGUAGCUUAACUACGGAACUGCAAUUGAGACUAUGAAUCUAGAGUGUAGGAGAGGAAAGUGGAAUUCUUGGUGUAGGGGUGAAAUCCGUAGAUAUCGAGAGGAACACUGAUUGCGAAGGCGGCCUACUGGCACUUUACUGACGCUGAGGCUCGAAAGCGUGGGGAGCAAACAGGAUUAGAUACCCUAGUAGUC
rnacentral:rRNA from 1 species